GGCUCUUCUACACACAUCCGUAGCUAUGGAAAGAAAGCUUGUAGUGGAGUGGCUUCCUUUGUAUGAUCUUGGAAGAUGAUGACCUCUGAAGCCCAUUAGAAAGCAUGGCAACGGCUAAAGGUUAGCGCAUUUCGAGAAGCCAACAGAUCGCCGCCUACUUCCUUAGGCUGACAAUCACCUGCAGGAUAAAGUGCGAUGUUUUGCCCGAGGGGUUGGAGCAGGACCGCAGGAUGAGACAAGAUCAAGGACUGGGCCAACGCGG